rnacentral:lncRNA from 1 species
GUGCUUCCAAUGAUUGCAUGAAUACAGUGUCGUAAACAUUGGGAUUUUUUCAAAUUGAUGUUGACGUGAAACUUGAAUCAUUUGUUAGGCAUGGCAUGGAAAUUCAUAAAUUGAUUGGAAAAAACCAAAUCCGGGUUACAAACUAAAACUAAGGGAAACACAACAAAUAUAACUACGACACAACAGAAACACAACCCAAAAAUGUAACACACACAGAAACGAACUAUAAUAUAACAAUGGCCAUAUUCUUGACUUGGUACAGGACAUUUUAAGAAAAAAAUGGUGGGUUGAACUUGGUUUGUGGCAAGCCAAACCUUCCACUUUUAUGACAAUGUUAAAUAUAACACUAAAAUGACUACAUUACAUGACAGGACUACAAUUCAAAUAAAUGGGGGAACAUCUAGGACAGAGAAACACACAAAUAAUAGCUAUUAAAAGGUACCAGGUUUAUAACUUAAUACACCAGACACGCGUUUCAUCUACACAAGACUAACCAGUGAAGCUCAGAUCAAAAAAGUUUGAAAGCCAAAACAAGUUCAAAGUUGAAGAGCAUUGAGGACCAAAAGUUCCAAAAAGUUGUGCCUAAUAUGGCUA